AACGAACGCUGGCGGCGUGCCUAAUACAUGCAAGUCGAGCGAGAAAGUCUCUUCGGAGAUGAGUAAAGCGGCGCACGGGUGAGUAACACGUGGGCAAUCUGCCCUCGAGUCUGGGAUAACCCGGGGAAACUCGGGCUAAUACCGGAUACGGCUGCGGGGUCUUUGGACCCUGUGGAGAAAGAUGGCCUCUUCUUGAAAGCUAUCUCUCGAGGAUGAGCCCGCGUCCUAUUAGCUAGUUGGUGGGGUAACGGCUCACCAAGGCAAAGAUGGGUAGCUGGUCUGAGAGGAUGACCAGCCACACUGGAACUGAGACACGGUCCAGACUCCUACGGGAGGCAGCAGUAGGGAAUUUUGGGCAAUGGGCGAAAGCCUGACCCAGCAACGCCGCGUGUGGGAUGAAGGCCCGUCGGGUCGUAAACCACUGUCAGGAGGAAAGAAAGUCGGCCGGGUAAUAUUCGGUCGACCUGACGGUACCUCCAAAGGAAGCACCGGCUAACUCCGUGCCAGCAGCCGCA
rnacentral:rRNA from 1 species